rnacentral:rRNA from 1 species
UACGAAGGGGGCUAGCGUUGUUCGGAAUUACUGGGCGUAAAGGGCGCGUAGGCUGUGCUGUAAGUCAGGCGUGAAAGCCCCGGGCUCAACCUGGGAAUUGCGCUUGAUACUGCGGCGCUGGAAGGUGGGAGAGGAUGGCGGAAUUCCCAGUGUAGAGGUGAAAUUCGUAGAUAUUGGGAAGAACACCGGUGGCGAAGGCGGCCAUCUGGCCCAUUUUUGACGCUGAGGCGCGAAAGCCGUGGGGAGCAAACAGG